CUUCUCUCUGGCUCCGAGCUGCGCGCAGUGUCUGGGUGGUGAUCGGAAGAGUGCCGGCGAUCUUCUGCCUCCGGGACUCGGCUGUCUUCCUUAUGCUAAAAAAAACGUAUGCUGUGUGACGUUGAAGAAAGUUACUCAACUGCUCUGAACUUCGGCUUGACGGACCAAUGAAGACCAGUGGCUGUAAUGGGGUGCACGGACUUCCCGAGCAGAGUCACCCCUGCGUGGAGCGAGGAUCCUUCACCCUAUGGCUCACCUGCUUCCUAUCUGGCCCAUCUCCAGACGCCUUCUCAGGAUGGUAAACACCACUGUCCACAGAGGGCCAGGGUCUGCUUCUUCCGGGUCCUUGGAAGUUUAUAAACGGAAUUCCGAAAAACCAGAUGGAGGCUGCUGUAGUCACUUUGGGUUCCAUGUCUUCAGGAUGGUCUCCCAGUCUGCUCACUAAAGACAAAGCAAUAAGACAAGCAAGUGUAUGGGGCACAGGCUUCUAACCACGGCCCUCAGGAAGUAGGGGCAGGAGGAUCAGAAAUUUGAGUUCAGUCUUGGCUGCAGGUUUGAAGCCAGCUUGGGCUACAUGAGACCAAGGUGGGGGUGGAGGAGAAGCUGGGAUAGCAAGAUGGCUCAGCAGGUAAAGACACUUGCAGCCAAGCUCGACAUCCUAAAUUCAGCCCUCAGGACUCCAGGAGUCA